rnacentral:tRNA from 1 species
GCCUUAGUGGUGUAAUUGGUAACACUUCUGGCUGGAAAUCGGAAGGUCCGGAAUCCGAAUCUUGGCAAGGACA